ensembl:snRNA Gm23510 predicted gene, 23510
AUACUUACUUGGCUGGGGAGGUACCAUGAUCACAAAGGUGGUUUUCCCAGGGCGAGACUUAUCCAUUGCACUCCGGAUGUGCUGCCUUCUGCGAUUUCCCCAAAUGUGGGAAACUCGUUCGUGCUCUCCCCU